rnacentral:rRNA from 1 species
UACGAAGGGGGCUAGCGUUGCUCGGAAUCACUGGGCGUAAAGGCGCGUAGGCGGCCAUUCAAGUCAGAGGUGAAAGCCCAAGGCUCAACCUUGGAACUGCCUUUGAUACUGUUUGGCUUGAGACCGGUAGGAGGUAGUGAACUGCGAGUGUAGAGGUGAAAUUCGUAGAUAUUCGCAAGAACACCAGUGGCGAAGGCGGCUUACUGGACCGGUUCUGACGCUGAGGCGCGAAAGCGUGGGGAGCAAACAGG